rnacentral:rRNA from 1 species
GACGAACGCUGGCGGCGUGCUUAACACAUGCCAGUCGAACGGAAAGGCCCUGCUUUUGUGGGGUGCUCGAGUGGCGAACGGGUGAGUAACACGUGAGUAACCUGCCCUUGACUUUGGGAUAACUUCAGGAAACUGGGGCUAAUACCGGAUAUGAGCUCCUGCUGCAUGGUGGGGGUUGGAAAGUUUCGGCGGUUGGGGCUGGACUCGGGGCUUAUCAGCUUGUUGGUGGGGUAGUGGCUUACCAAGGCUUUGACGGGUAGCCGGCCUGAGAGGGUGACCGGCCACAUUGGGACUGAGAUACGGCCCAGACUCCUACGGGAGGCAGCAGUGGGGAAUAUUGCACAAUGGGCGGAAGCCUGAUGCAGCAACGCCGCGUGCGGGAUGCCGGCCUUCGGGUUGUAAACCGCUUUCGCCUGUGACGAAGCGUGAGUGACGGUAAUGGGUAAAGAAGCACCGGCUAACUACGUG